rnacentral:rRNA from 1 species
AUUGAACGCUGGCGGCAUGCUUUACACAUGCAAGUCGAACGGUAACAGGCCGCAAGGUGCUGACGAGUGGCGAACGGGUGAGUAAUGCAUCGGAACGUGCCCAGUCGUGGGGGAUAACUACUCGAAAGAGUAGCUAAUACCGCAUACGAUCUAUGGAUGAAAGCGGGGGACCGUAAGGCCUCGCGCGAUUGGAGCGGCCGAUGUCAGAUUAGGUGGUUGGUGGGGUAAAGGCUCACCAAGCCAACGAUCUGUAGCUGGUCUGAGAGGACAACCAGCCACACUGGGACUGAGACACGGCCCAGGCUCCUACGGGAGGCAGCAGUGGGGAAUUUUGGACAAUGGGCGCAAGCCUGAUACAGCAAGGCCGCGUGCAGGAAGAAGGCCUUCGGGUUGUAAACUGCUUUUGUACGGAACGAAACGGUUCUGGUUAAUACCCGGGGCUAAUGACGGUACCGUAAGAAUAAGCACCGGCUAACUACGUG